UACAGAGGGUGCGAGCGUUAAUCGGAUUUACUGGGCGUAAAGGGUGCGUAGGCGGAUGGAUGAGUGUGAUGUGAAAGCCCCGGGCUUAACCUGGGAAGGGCAUCGCAAACGAUCGAUCUGGAGUAGAUGAGAGGGUGGUGGAAUUUCCGGUGUAGCGGUGAAAUGCGUAGAGAUCGGAAGGAACAUCAGUGGCGAAGGCGGCCAUCUGGGACAACACUGACGCUGAAGCACGAAAGCGUGGGGAGCAAACAGG
rnacentral:rRNA from 1 species